rnacentral:rRNA from 1 species
GAUGAACGCUGGCGGCGUGCUUAACACAUGCAAGUCGAACGGUGAAGCCCCGCUUGCGGGGUGGAUCAGUGGCGAACGGGUGAGUAACACGUGAGCAACCUGCCCUGGACUCUGGGAUAAGCGCUGGAAACGGCGUCUAAUACUGGAUAUGAGCCUCUAUCGCAUGGUGGGGGUUGGAAAGAUUUUUCGGUCUGGGAUGGGCUCGCGGCCUAUCAGCUUGUUGGUGAGGUAAUGGCUCACCCAGGCGUCGACGGGUAGCCGGCCUGAGAGGGUGACCGGCCACACUGGGACUGAGACACGGCCCAGACUCCUACGGGAGGCAGCAGUGGGGAAUAUUGCACAAUGGGCGGAAGCCUGAUGCAGCAACGCCGCGUGAGGGAUGACGGCCUUCGGGUUGUAAACCUCUUUUAGCAAGGAAGAAGCUUUUGUGACGGUACUUGCAGAAAAAGCGCCGGCUAACUACGUGCCAGCCGCCGCAGUAAUAC